UGAUCCUGGCUCACAAUGAACGCUAACGGCAUGGAUUAGGCAUGCAAGUCGAGCGCCCUGCUUGCAGGGAGCGGCGAAAGGGUGAGUAACGCGUGAGCAACUGCCCGAGGUCGGGAUACCCCGCGAAAGCGGGAUUAAUACCGGAUGUGGCGGAAACGCCAAAGGCUUCGGUCGCCUUGGGAUGGGCUCGCGUCCUAUCAGCUUGUUGGUGCGGUAACGGCGCACCAAGGCAUUGACAGGUAGCUGGUCUGAGAGGAUGGUCAGCCACACUGGGACUGAGACACUGCCCAGACUCCUACGGGAGGCUGCAGUCGAGAAUCUUCCGCAAUGCGCGAAAGCGUGACGGAGCGAUGCCGCGUGCGGGAUGAAGGCCCUCGGGUCGUAAACCGCUGUCACCCGGAACGAAUAUUUGACGGUACCGGGAGAGGAAGCCACGGCUAACUACGUGCCAGCAGCCGCGGUAAUACGUAGGUGGCGAGCGUUAUUCGGAUUUAUUGGGCGUAAAGGGUCCGCAGGGGGCUUCCCAAGUCUGAUGUGAAAGCCCACGGCUCAACCGUGGAACUGCAUUGGAAACUGGGAGGCUUGAGGGCCGGAGAGGAAAGCGGAAUUCCGGGUGUAGCGGUGGAAUGCGUAGAUAUCUGGAGGAACAUCAAUGGCGAAGGCAGCUUUCUGGCCGGUUCCUGACCCUCAUGGACGAAAGCCGGGGGAGCAAACAGGAUUAGAUACCCUGGUAGUCCCGGCCGUAAACGUUGUACACUCGGUGUGGGGGGAUUUGGUCCCUUCUGUGCCUCAGCUAACGCGUUAAGUGUACCGCCUGGGGAGUACGGCGACAACGCUAAAACUCAAAGGAAUUGACGGGGGCCCGCACAAGCGGUGGAGCAUGUGGCUUAAUUCGAGGCAACGCGAAGAACCUUACCUGGGUUUGACAUGUUGGUGACCGUCGGCGAAAGUCGAUUUCUCUUUUGAGCACCAUCACAGAUGCUGCAUGGCUGUCGUCAGCUCGUGUCGUGAGAUGUUCGGUUAAGUCCGGCAACGAGCGCAACCCGUGUCACCAGUUACCAGCGGAUCAUGCCGGGGACUCUGGUGAGACUGCCCGUGCUAAGCGGGAGGAAGGCGCGGAUGACGUCAAGUCCGUAUGGCUCUUACGUCCAGGGCUGCACACGUGCUACAAUGGCCGGUACAAUGGGCCGCGACCUCGCGAGAGGCAGCGAGUCCGGAAAAACCGGCCCCAGUUCGGAUUGGAGUCUGCAAUUCGACUCCAUGAAGUCGGAAUCGCUAGUAAAGGCGUAUCAGCAACGGCGCCUCGAAUACGUUCCCGGGCAUUGUACACACCGCCCGUCACAUCAUGGAAGCCGGCUGUUCCCGAAGUCGCUGACCCAACCCCUCGGGGAGGGAGGUGCCGAAGGAAUGUCCGUCAACUGGGAUGA
rnacentral:rRNA from 1 species